UACGUAGGCAGCAAGCGUUGUUCGGAGUUACUGGGCGUAAAGGGUGUGUAGGCGGUUGGAUAAGUGUGGUGUGAAAUCUCCCGGCUUAACUGGGAGGGUGCGCUACAAACUGUCUGACUAGAGUAACGGGAUGGGAAAGUGGAAUUCCUGGUGUAGCGGUGAAAAUGCGUAGAUAUCAGGAGGAACACCGGUGGUGUAGACGGCUUUCUGGACCGUAACUGACGCUGGAAACACGAAAGCGUGGGUAGCAAACAG
rnacentral:rRNA from 1 species